AAAAUCUCGGUAGUCAAAGAUCCCCAUUCCAUACCACGUAGGCAAUUAAAGAAUGCAGAAAUGGAGAAUAUGGAAAAGCCGGGAAGGGCAUUCCAUGCAUUCUAAGGCUAAAAAUGAUGUGGUUACGCCAACAAAGAAAUGUAUCGUUUUAUCUCGAUGAAUAAUACAAAGGAGAAGAGAAUUCUAAGAAUGUGUAAAGAAACACAGAUUCUCACGUGGAAUGAAGAAAUUAAGCGAUGGAAGAGUACAAUACAAACCCAGAAAAAUUGAGGACGGAAGGAGAGCGAGAGAAGGAGAGAAGUUCCAUGGGCAGCUCAAAGAAUUGUGAAAAGGGAAAUUGAAUGGAGAAGUGGAAGGAAG
rnacentral:lncRNA from 1 species